AACACACUCUCUCUCUCUAAAUCAUAACACACACACACACACAUGUUUGGACUUUUGGCUUGACUCAUCCUUUUGUGUAUUGGAAGCAUAAUUAAAAGGAACUGUGGUUGGAAUGAUAUUCUGUUUUGAUUUUUUUAUGAAAACCCAAUACAGUGUACCACAUAUAAUUGAAUAUUUUCCUCCUAUCCUUCAUUUUCUAUUAGUUUUCUCAAGAAUUAGACAAGGUGUUAGUAUGUAUAAUUUGAGCUCGAAUUUUAUAGUAGUUUCUUUUUAAUAUCUUCAUUUUGACAGCUGAUUUAGGUUUGAAUUUUUAUUUUGCAAUUAUAGAAUUCUUAAUUUAGCUAUAGAUAAGCAAAAAGUUCAGAAACUCUGUUAAUGAAACUCGGGUUUUCGUUUUCUGAGAGACCCCAAUGAUCUUUUAAUAUCUAGGAUUUAAAAUCGUCCACCUUUCUCUUUAGCUUUCUAAGCAGCUAAAAAAAUGGGUAACAUGUAGAACUUAAGCUCAGAAUAAUAUAUGUAUUAAGAUAUCCGGGUAAAUCUACUGCAGAGUUCCUAAAAUCUUAUCCAUUCAUUUUUAAAGGAGUGGAUUAUAUUCUACGACGUAUCAACGUUUUAUAAAAUAUUGACUAUCACCAUUUUGGUAUCUAUUUAAAUUAUUGAUGAUGUGCCAAAAGCAAUCCACUCAUUCCAAAACAAAUAGAUAGGAUUUUAGGAAUUCCAUGAUGAAGUCAGCCUAAAAACUCUGGAGGAUCCUAAUUCUUUGGUAUAAUCAGUGUGUUUGCUAUAAGUGUUCAUUAGUUUGAGUUUGAAUUGUUAAACGAAAUGAAACAAGAAUGCAAAUCUUAUUAAUGGGUUUCAGAUAUUUCUGGCGAAUUUGAAUUUUCCACCUCUAUAGCUAAGGACUAGGUUGACUUGUUGUUUAUGGAUUGGAAGCAUAGCAUAGGAAGGGACCUUAUCACUAGAAUGAUAGUCUGAAUGUUUUAGGGGGAAGAAAUGGGCACCCAAACGCCUGCAAGUAGCAAUCGUACAAGGACAAACUGGACACCAGCAAUGGAGUGCUAUUUUAUUGAUCUUUUGUUAGAUCAGGUGCAUAGGGGGAAUAGGAUGGGCCAUACAUUAAAAAAACAAGCUUGGACUGAUAUGCUGACCGUUCAAUGCCAUUUUGGAUCCCCAUAUGAUAAAAAGGUCUUGAAAAGUCACUACACUAAUUUGUGGACUCAAUUCAAUAAGUUGGUCAGAAUGGAUUUUCAUGGGAUGAUACUAAACAAAUGGUGGUUGCCAGUCAUCAUGUUUGGGAUGCUUACAUCAAGGCUCACCCAGAGGCACAAUUCUAUAGAAACAAAGCUCUGAUGAACUACAAUGAUUUGUGCUUGAUAUAUGCACAUACAACAGGAGAUGGAAGAUACAGCCUAUCAAGUCAUGAUAUAGACUUUGAUGAUGACAUUCAAGGAGUGAAUACUGGCACACCCAGAUGCGCACUCAUAUCAUAGGAAGGCCUUGCUAAGCUAUGGAGAUUUGAAUUGAUAUUUGGAAAUGCAAUCAGCAACGGACAUUGCAGUCAUUUAUGGCAAGGGAGAAACUUCGAAGAUGAUAUAAUACAUAUCAAGACGGGUUAGGUUCAUUUCUUGAAUGUGUAGGAGGACCUUUAUAGGGAACCUGUAUUCUUGAGGACAUCCUCUUCAAUUUAUUAAUAUAGUCCUGUUUACUUAUCGAAAUAAAAAUGCUGGUUUCAUCUUUAUACAUACAACUUGGGAUUUAUUGAUUGUCACAAUUAGGACUCUGGUUAAUAUUAGGGUGUCCAAUAGGUCUUUAACCUUCACAAAUGGAAUUUUAUCAGAUAUGUUUAAUUACAGAGAUUCGCAUACUGUAUGACAGUUUUUUUUUCUUGAUGUAUGCUAUCCUUAAAUGGAAGUUCAAUUUAUAGGUUCUAGUUUUUUCAUUACAUGCCUGUAGGCAUGCCCAGUUCAUUAAGAUCCAUGAGAUUUUAAUUCAUUUUAAUAAUUUCUUUAAAUUUUCUCUUAGGGUUGGGACAGAUUUACUGGGCUGUGGGUAUUGUUCUGUAGUCUGUACCCAUCUUAUUGCUAUCCGAUUAUGUUGUUGAAUUAUAUGAGCUACUGUUUGUCAAUGAUGGCAAGUAUAAUGUGCUUCUAGCAUAAUUUAUGUUUAAAAGUCUGAAAUGUUUUGUUGAAUGAAAAGUUAUUUAUUACCCUCAUAAAUCAGUUAGUUUUGCCUUUCUUGUAGUUGAAGAAAAGGAGGGUUGUACCUCUUCUAAUAGUGAAUGUCUUUAAACAAAUUGGACAUCAACAAUGGAUCGUUACCUCAUUGAAUUGUUACCAGACCAGGUGCUUAGAGGGAAUAAAAUUGGUCAUGGAUUUGUGUCUGAGGCAUGGAUUGAAAUGGUUGGACUGUUCAAUGCAAAAUUUGGAUGUCACAUGACAAAGAUGGUCUAAGGAAAAGACACAAACAUUUGAGGGGACAAUAUAAUGAUAUAAAGGUUCUUCUUGACCAGGGCGGGUUUUCUUGUGAUGAAAUGGGAGAAAUGGUAACUGCUGAGGAUUAUGUCUGGGAUUCUUAUACCAAUGUGCAUCCUGAUGCUCAGUCAUAUGGAAAUAAAUCUGUUCCCAGCUGUCACAAAUUAUGUGUUUUAUAUGGUGAAGAAAUUUGUGAUGGAAGAUACAGCAUUUCGACGUGCAAUGCAGAUCUUGACAGUGAAGAACCAGAUUCGAGGAUUGGAAGGUUUCUUGUUUCAGCUACAAGAACUUCCCAAAUAAUUUAAGGAAGAUAUUAUCUGCUUAUUUAUUGUCUUAUUUUCUUUGUUGUGUUCUCAACCUACUGUUUGAUUGUUGAAUGCCAGAGUAUGUCUCCCUGUUUUGCAGUGUUUGAUUUGCAUCUUUGGGGGUUUUUGUCACUUCCCAUUCUCUUUCUCUAAAUUAAUGGGUUCUUUCAUGCGGGAUACUAAUUUAAUUUGAAAGGACAUUUAUGCAAAGUAAAAGUAUAAUUGAUGGUCAUAUUAUUUGUUUUUGAAUUCAGUAUCUUGUAAAUUCGUAAUGGUUAAAAAGCCUUCAAAAUUAUUCGAGAAAAAAACAUUAAAUUAUCUAGUUAAUGGACCAGUAAAGUCAGAAGCCCUAUGCUUUUUCAGACUCACUAAGAUACACAUCUAAUUGGCCAUUGUCAAGAGAUUUCUUGAAAUGAUUAGAAUUACUGGUUUUAAUUAGUUUAGCAUAUUGUCAUGGUGUUUUGAAAAGGCUCAGUGGUAUUUGUUUUGAAACAGAUAGCUUAAAUGAAUGUUGCUAGGAAUUUAAGGUUUGAUUAAUGGAAUUGUC